rnacentral:lncRNA from 1 species
GUUUUGUUCACGUGAGAUAAUAUCCUCCUGGGAAAAAAUCUUGAUGGAAAGCCAAGGCCCCCCUGCUGGCUGCAAGAAACCGGAAUUCGGCCUUUUCGGCGCGCACCCGGACACGGCGCUGGGAUGAAGGCGCCCAGUUCAUGCCCAGCCAGGGCCUGCAGGGACAACGGGAUGGUCACAGGACGGCUGCCUCAGCUCCAAACAGCAACAUCUGAAGGAGAAAGCUGCAGGCCCGGACUGGAUGGCUUUGGCUAAGGAACCAACGCAGGUGGAGAAGGAGGCUGACGAUGGAGCCCAGGCACUCCAGCCUUGAAGGAGGAGAACCUGACCCUGAGCCUGCAUGGCAGCCGUGCGGGGGGACUUCGGGGGGUUUCCCCUUUGCUUCCAUCCAAAGAAAGUGCCCCACGUUUGAAAGCCUCUGUGCUGAAUGCUCCCAAUGCCCUCCGAUUCCAUCUAGGUCGUCCCUACCACCAAGGCAGGUGUGUGAAUUCACCCGCACAGCUCACCGUCCUGGGAGGGUGACGCUGGAGGAGGGACGUCCCUACCAUCAAGGCAGGUGUGUGAAUUCACCCGCACAGUUCACCGUCCUGGGAGGGUGACGCUGGAGGAGGGACGUCCCUACCAUCAAGGCAGGUGUGUGAAUUCACCCGCACAGUUCACCGUCCUGGGAGGGUGACGCUGGAGGAGGGACAUCCCUACCAUCAAGGCAGGUGUGUGAAUUCACUCGCACAGUUCACCGUCCUGGGAGGGUGACGCUGGAGUAGGGAUGUCCCUCCGGGGUCUCUUCAGCAUCUGCCCUUCUCCACCACAUAAGUUCGUC